CCCUAUGGGGUGCACCAGGUGGAAAGCCUUUAUUUGAUUAUUGAAGUUAUGCUAUUCUGCACCGCGAGCCUGAAUUGGUUUUUAUGUUAACAUAUAUAUGUUUUAUAUAAUUAUAUAUACGUUAUAGAAUAGUUUAGGUACUGGGCAGCUGGGCAGAUCGUAUAGUUUUCUUACACUAUAAAAAAGGGGUGAACCUGUAAAACAGGGCGGUAACAGGCAGCGGUGCGGCGGAAAUGCGUUGAUUUUGCGGCGAUGCAACAAAAAUUCAAGGAAAAUGCACGACACUAAUUAUAUAGCCAUAUAUCAAAAAGGGUUAUCUCGUACAGGCGCGGGCAGCCCUGGGAGUUUUCGGACACUAUAAAAAAGGAAUUGGCGGGGGAGC
rnacentral:rRNA from 1 species